rnacentral:rRNA from 1 species
AUUGAACGCUGGCGGCAGGCCUAACACAUGCAAGUCGAACGAGUGGCGGACGGGUGAGUAACGUCUGGGAAACUGCCUGAUGGAGGGGGAUAACUACUGGAAACGGUAGCUAAUACCGCAUACCAUCGGAUGUGCCUAGAUGGGAUUAGCUAGUAGGUGGGGUAACGGCUCACCUAGGCGACGAUCCCUAGCUGGUCUGAGAGGAUGACCAGCACAACUGGAACUUAGCCAUGGUCCACACUCCUACGGGAGGCAGCAGUGGGGAAUAUUGCACAAUGGGCGCAAGCCUGAUACAGCCAUUCCGCUUGUGUGAAGAGGGCCUUCGGGUUGUAAAGUACUUUCAGCGGGGAGGCGUUACCCGCAGAAGAAGCACCGGCUAACUCCGUGCCAGCCUCCGCGGUAAUUC